UGUAUUGGGUCUUGGUAGCAGGGAGA
rnacentral:piRNA from 1 species